GGAAUUGUCAACAAAGGGACGAGGGACGCGCCACUCUGCGCCGUAUGGUGCGCCAGCAUCCCGCGGGCUCCGAGGGCGUCCUGGCCCGCCCCGGGACCCCAGUCUAGCUCUUGGGUAAGGGCUGCGUACCCGGCUCCGUUUUGCUAAUUAGACUUCAAACCCCCUCCGGCCUCACUGCUCAUUUGGAGGAGACACCUACUGAGGGGAAAAGUAUCCUUUACCCCCCAAAGCCAAACCACCCGUCCUGCCUUUGCUUUCCCCGCUCGAUGUGGGCGUGUUAUAUAUAUAUUGCACCCUCCCCCCGCACCCCGCGCGGCCACAACAGCAUCAGCUGGGGUUCCCGAAGGUCAGAAAAUAGUUAUUGAUUAAUCUAUUAGAAUAGUUGCCGAGAGAAAUAAAAACGACGUAAAAUAACAGCGAACCUAUAAAUAAAGAGGCUGUAACUAGCUGCUGGGAGUUGUUAAACGACUUAACAUGUGAAAAAGUCGGAAAUGAGGCGCUGGGGAAGGAGCCGGGACUCAGCGGCCUGGGCUUAGGUAAAUCCUCCAAGAUUUAACUUCCGCGCAGACCAGUAGCAGAGCGGGUGGAGGAGGCGAGGAUGCGGCUAGUACGCACCGAGUAUCCUUGGCAAGGAAAACCAUUGGUGGUAGGAAAGGCUGUGGGGAUUUAACUGGAAUUGGGGAUGGGGGAUCGCAAACCGACCACGGGUGCGUGGCACUACCCGUGCGCUCGGGCCUCGCACCUCGGAAUAGUGCUCCUCACCGGGUGAGUCUGCGAUGGGCCACCUCUCAAGUUUUAGGCCGCCUGAAAGCUAGCUGCAAGCGCCUGCCGUGUGUGGCCGGGCUCCUUGAACCCAAGCUCUGCCGGUCCGUUGAGUCCUGGGAGGAGAAGGCUGAGAGGUCCGAACCGUUUGCAAUGCCAUCUAGACGGCCCUCGGACGCGAGCGGCGCGAGCUGGCAGCCCACCACUGCACCCGGCUGCAGAGGUCGAGGCUGCAACUCUCCGAGCAACCCAGCAAUUACAAAAGGAAGGUCGGAAGGACAAAAACGAACCCGGAAUUUAAAAUUCAGAAAUUACUUUUGAGCAGUUUCUGUGGUCCAGCUGCAGUGAGAGGCGCGGGCCGCGAGCCCCAUCGCAGCCCAAAAGGCUGGACCCGCGUGGCCGCGUGCCGUGUAUGUGUGUGUGCGUGCGUGUGUGUGCGCGGGAGUGUAGCGGCUUCGGGGGCUGCUCUCAGUAGUCUUCUGAAAGUAGCCUCCAAAUAAGCCUAAUUUCGAUUCUGCUGCCCUCCGGAGCUGCGUCUCAGGACUCCCUCGGUGCUGCCGGUCGCUGCCUCGCCCUCUCUCGGCCGAGACCUGGCCUGAUCCGUCCAUUCCCUGGUGUCUCAUUGGAACCUCCCUGGGGGAAGGGGUGGGGGAUGAACAACUCCCAGCCGCCAGUUCCAUUUGUUGCGCUUUUUUCA